AUAUUUUAAGAAAAGUUUAACGAAUUAUCAGAAGUGGAAUAUUACAUGGGAAAACAAACGUGUGUUUGAAACGGAUGCAAAUUCUGCAAAACUCAUCAUAUUACAUAUAUGAGUAUAGUGUGCAAGAAAAUGAUUGGAAUGGUAAAAUCAUUUCGCUGGUAAUUAGUACACCGUAUUGUUAAUAGUAUGGUGUAUUGACAUUCGGAGAGUCGUAAAAAGCGUAUAGGUAUUGGUAAAGUACUGGUUAAAUAAUUGUAAAUAAGAGAAAUGAACGAUGUGGAAGAAACUUUUAAAUGAAAGGAACACGGCAAGGAUUAAAUAAAGUAAGCAAAUGAAAUCUACGAACUAACAAAUGUCAAUAACAUUAGAGGACACGAAUCAAUAGGCAGUGUGUCAAAAAAUAGCGAUAAAGCUAUAAGUAUACGGAACAAAGGAAGGAAACAACACUUCAAAAAGCAAAAAAUUAUGAAAAGUACAGUAAAUUCUGGAAAUUCUAGAUAAUAAAAGAUUAUUGACAUUCCACUGAAUUAAAGCAAAUCACAAGAAACAGGAAAUAAUACAGCAACUGAGGAAAGUCAACAUCAUAGAAAAAGUGAAUCUCCAUUAUCACUAUCUUUUAAAGUGGUCAAGAAAGAAAUUCAUGUGAACGAGUUUCGAUUAUCGAGUAAUUGAUAAUAUACAUUGUUAGACUAUCAACUAUGUUAAUAACCGUUAAUCGAACGUGCAUGUCCCUAUUGCUACCAUUUCAAUCAUAAAUAUUUGACAUGCAAUUUAACAAAAUAUGGUGUAGUGUGUCAAACUGUUCCUUUAUUCUUGAUAUUACCAUAUCAGUCAUUGCAUGUUUUAUGUCCUUAUAUUUAUAAAACUGAUCGAAUUCUCAUUGAUUUCAACGUGACAUAAAUUUUUGUAGAAUUCUUAAAUUAUUUUGAGAAGCAAAUAUUCAGAAAGGUAUAGCUUCUUACGACCUUUAGCUAGACGAUAUACUCUGGUAUUAUACAUUAAAAAUUUUCAUUUGGUUCGUCUUCGUCUCUUUUCACAAGUAUUGUGAAAAACUCAAAAUUUUGUCACUAAUUCGCAGUAUAGCAGCAAACUAUGUCGACAUUAAUAGUUGUUUUUAACACAGAUAAACAAACCAAUGUAGUUAUAAUUUAA